GGUCACACUCGAGGCAUGUGGAAGUUCCCAGACUAAGGGUUGAAUUGGAGAUACAGCUGCCAGACUACACCACAGCUUACAGCAAAGCCAGAUCUUUAACCCACUAUGCAAGGCCAGGGAUCGAACCCAAGUCCUCAUGGAUAGUAGUUGGGUUUGUUACCACUGAGCCAUGACAGGAACUCCCGUGAUCGCCAUUCUGACCAGAGUGAGGUGAUAGGACAUUGUGGUUUAGAUUUGCACCUCCCUGAGCAAAUUUCUUCAUGUCCUUUUUGGAGAAAUGUGUAUUUAGUUCUGUCCAUUUCUACAUCAAUUUUUUUUUGUUAAGUUGUAUGAGUUCUUUAUAUAUUUUUGAAUAUUAACCCUUUAUUCUGUAUAUGGUUUGCAAAAUUCUUCUCCCAUUCCGAAGGCUGCUGUUUCACCUUGUUAACUGUUUCUUUUACUAUGCAGAAGCUUUUGAGUUUGAUGUAGUGCCGUGUGUUGAUUUCUGCUUUUGUCAUCUGUGCUUUUGGCCUCAUGCCCUCAAAGUCAUUGCCAAGACCAAGAUCAGGGAGCUUUUCCCCUAUGUUUUCUUCCAGGAGUCUUAUGAUCCAUUUUGAGUUAGCUUUUGUCAGUGGUGUGAGGCAUGGAUCUGAUGUCUAUGUGCUGUGUGUUUUUCCAGUUUUCCUAGCUCCAUUUGUUGAAGAGACUAUCCUCCCCUGUUGGAUGUUCUUGACUUCUUUGUCAAAUAUUAGUUGAUUCCAUAUGUUGGAAUUUAAUUCUGGGCUUUUUAUGCUGGUAAAAUAAAUUGGCCUAGUGUGUCUACCUUUUGUGGCAGUACCACAUUUUGAUCACUGCGGCUUUGUAGUGUAAUUUAAAAGCAGGGAGUAUAAUAUCUUCAGCUUUGUUCUUUUUUACUCAAGAUUUUAAAGUCACUUAAUUUUGAGUUGGUUUGUUACCCAGCAUUACUGGGAUAAUAGCUAAUUUGUACGCAAUUGGACACACUAAUUCUGGAUGACAGUGACUCUAUAGUAUUAGACAGUGAUAGUUUUGUGGCUCUGGGUUAUAUUAACUAUGGUUUUAGAUAAUAGUGGCCUUGUGGUUCUGGUAUUGGGGGUUCAAUGAUGAUGGAAUUUGAAGGUAAUUAUAGCAACAUAGCUAAUAUUUAUGGCUUUUGAUAAUGAUGUACUUGUGCUUUUGAUGGUUAUGGUGCUUAUGCUAAAAGGUGUUUAUUUUGCUGACGGUACUUCAUAUGAUGAUAUGUAUGAUAUGCUAGGAAACUCAAAUUUUCUACCAGGUUACCACAAUUUGUUAACUAAAUGACAGCUUUUAAUACCACUAAGUUUCCAAGGAAGCUAAAUAUACACUGUUCUUAGUUUCUUGCUAGACUGGGAAAGUUGAGAUAAUGGUAGGUUUCUUCUCACUGUGUGUGUAUGUAUGUGUGUGUGUGUGUGUGUGUGUGUGUGUAUGCCAGAAUUAGUGACCUUUUUCAGAAAAAAAAACAACCCUUCUCUGGGCCUCACUUCAGCCUUUACAAGAAUGACUUAUAAAUUGGUGUAAAAUAUCUGAUUAUCUUUUUUCUUUGAAUAAACAUAUCCAGUGGUUAGAGACAAAAAUUCUACCUGUAUUUCAGCAGGGGAGGAGCCCACAUGUGGUGCCCCACCUAGAGGACCCUGGUCCUAUCCGUGAAAUGGUCUUAUUUUCCUAGGAGGGAACUGGUUAUACUUGCUUUUGUUUUUCACAUAACCCCUUUGCCAGUAUAGCUAUUGAACGAUGGGGUACCACAUUUCUCUUUAGGAAGCUCUAUACAUUUUCUGAGGGUGUUUCCUAUCUCUGUUCACUUUGUGGAUAAAUGGCUAACAAAACUCUUACCCUUUUUUGAAUGAGAAUUUGACCUUUGGUGAACUCUCUGGCUCAGUUCCCCUGGUAUCUUGACAAUGACAGAAUGUCAACUAUGUUUCUAGGCAGGAUUGCUUGUGCUAAAAAUGACCUUUGACUGGCACAUUGGGUCUGGCCUGGAAAGGUCUAAAGGACAUAUAAAUACUUGACAGGGAAGCUAUGCUUUGGGCUCCCCUAAGAGCUGUGACUCUUAGAUCUGGGCAUGCAUCUUGCAGGGAUCUCAGAAACUGUGGAUCUCAUGUGUUAACAGGUUUCAGGUCAGGAUGGGUCCUGUACUUGCCUGGUGUGGGUCUUAUCUCCUGUUAGGUGGCUCCAAGGACCACCACAGAAAUAAAACACCUGCAGUGGUCCUCUUGCUAAGCUCUGGGUUUUGUCCUCUAACCUCAUAGAUGGGUGCCAAGUGUGACCCCUGGCGGCGAGUUGGAGUACUUUGUUGAACCUAAAAUGGUCUUUAGUGGGUCUUGCAGACUUGGUGUAGGGGACACUUGAGACCUCCACUGGCCAGAGAGAACUCUAUGACAGAUGCCCUGUGUGUAAACUUGAGGUGAUUCGUCAUGCAUGAGGUGUUUAAGGAGAUGAAGUGGCAAGAGGCCAGUCCCCCUGGGGCUUUCAGAGCAUGCAUUGACAGAAGUGCUGUCUAGGUAACUUGUCAAAUUGCAACAUCUCUCACUAAGAUGGGGUAGAUGGAGAAGGGUUUCAGGGAAGGAGGCUAAAGACUUUGGGGGGAUGAUUAUGUUGCUGGCCAAAGGGUGGCUCUUCCUUUUUAAAGCCAAAGAGCACACACACAUAGCCACUCACAGGAGAGGCAGGAGAAUGAAUGGCCAUCUCAGGUAUGCCUCUAACCACAGGAUGGCCUUCUCUGGGGGAUCCUAGAUAAGUCCUGGCCACACUGCCCUGCAUGCUCCUUGUCUAGAGAGGGAAUGCAAGUCUGCGGAGGCUCAAGCAGUAACCUCUGGAACCUUCCUCUGUCUCAAGGCUCUAUUCUCCUUUGGGCUGGCUCCAUUUUCAGUCGGAUUUUUCCUAGGAAGAAGCAAAGACUGCCAUUGGCAACUCCAGGCUUCCAUUUUGCCAACUUAGCAACCGUAGAGGAAAGAGCAAGUGUGCUGUGGCUGAUGCUGCCCUGGCUUGGAACCCACGUGCUUCCUGAUCAUGGAAGCUGGGGUGAUGGAGGCUGUCAUGGGGCUGCCUAGGAGUGGGCUGUUCGGAAUCUUUGAAACAUAUAGCCUGUGACUGGAGCAAAGUGCUUUCCCAAAGGGAAACUGGAGGGCUGGGUGCCAGGAAGUAGGAAGGGAUGCUGGGAAGGAUAAACAAUGGUUAUUCCCAAUCGUAUCCCUGAGCAUCCAGGAAGAAUGUGGAAAAGUGAUGAUGUACACUCAUUUCAUAUUGUCUUGAUCAUCUAAAAGCCACUGAAAGGUGUGAAGUCAAAGACAAGGGCAAACACCAGGGCUAGACAUAGAGGUACCUUGGUAUGUGAUGGAGCAUGGGUGAGACAGGUAAGUGAAAAAUGAUAAUCAGGGAGAAAAUGAUAAAUGCCAUUAUGUAGACAGAAAUCCAGAGUUUAUAAAAACCAGCAGUUACAGUGACAACCCAGAAAAUACUGGAGAAGAAUUCUGGCAUUCUAGGCUUCCAGCCAUCUUCAAACUUUAGUGUGCUAUGCUGUCACCUGGGGAUCUGCCAAAAAUGCAGGUUCCGAUGCAUCAGGGCUGGGGUGGGUGGUGAGGGGCAGGAACAAGAGUGUGUGUUUUGAAUGAGUUUCUUAGCCUCUCUGCUGCUGCUGUUGAGGGACCCUGCACCAAGGAGCAAAGCAGUAGAGGGUUGGGUCACUGCUCACCUGGUGCUGAUGCUGUUCCUCAAGGAGAGGUAUUAGCGGCUGCCUCCCAAAACAUUUGGGGAGCAUCCAGACAGUAUUCGAAGUGUAGCAUGAGGCAGGAGAAGCCUCGUUGCAGGGGCCUCUUCUAAACCAUUAGACCUACCGGAGCAGAUUGUGUGACCCUGGAACGCGCAUGCGGGCAGUUUCUCCUUGUGCUGCGGCAACACUUACAAAAGCACAUUAUGCUGUGAAAUGAAUUAUAAACAGUGAGAUAAUCACAGGCCCUCCUCUGCCAAUGGACAGCUCCCACUGGAAUGAAUUUGGAGAUGGGGAGCAUUAAAAAAAAAAAGUGGCCAAACAGCAGAAUAAUGUGUAACUGUUACACAUUACAAAAUGAGCUGUUUUCAAAAUGAGCCAUAAAAGGAUGUUUGGAAAAAUGUUAAUUUUUCAAUGUCUCCUCCCACCUUGUUGUCUGGACUCCUUUUUUUUUUUCUUUUUUUUUCCUUUCUUUUUUUUUAUUACUCAAAUGAAUUUAUCACAUCUGUAGCUGUAUAAUGAUCAUAACAAUCUGAUUUCACAGGAUUUCCAUCCCACAGUCCAGGCACAUCUUAGAAGACUAAGAAUGCCAUUUUUUUUUUCCUUCUAUGGUUUGCCCACCAGGGCUGUAUUUGGCAAAUUGUGAUUUGUCUCCUUGAUUUGGUAAGGAGGAAAUCCAACAAGUUUUAACUCACUGAACUUGAAUUUCAUAGCAUGGUCUUAAUCAGACUCAGAUUCUUCCAGGGAACCCAAUUGUAUUCUAAAUUGGAUCCUUCUUUUACGAUAGAAGAAUAAAUGGAGGUACUCCUCAAAAUACUUAAGGACCAAAUGCUUAAGCCCAGAACUAAAGAGAUGAAUAAAAAUGUUAAAAGAGAAGAGAGGAUUAGAACUCUGGGAAUUCAGGACUUACUGCUUUUUAGGACCUAGCUUUUUUUCUUCAAGGCAUUGGUUAUUUUGACUUUGAAGUCAUUGGUGAAAGGCAGAAAUUACAAUUUAUGGCAUAGACCAACAUGUGUAAAAAGGAAUUGUUUAGUAGUAUUUUGAAUUGUUUCAUCCAGCAUCUGUUUUUCUCUUUUCACCUCAUUCAACUUAAGUGACAAAUAUAAUGCAGUUGACACAACGCUUAUUAGAUUGUUCCAACAAACAAAUGCUUAGCUGUAACUCACCUCACCUGCCCUUGAAUCUGAUUUUGCAGUGGGAGAUGGGGAGCUGAAGGAGUUAUUCCAUAGCAGGGUCAAUACCUGCAUUGGCCUAUUUGUUCUUGACACUGGAGUAGAGUGAGGAAAGGGAAUUUAAGAAAAGAAAAGCAAUUUUGUAACCCAAAGGCUCCAGUUCCAAGCCCCAAGCUUUCGUUAAUGAUGGGUUGAUAUUAAUGGAUUCAUCUCUUUUCCACUUGAGUUUUCUCAUUCAAUAAAAAUGCAAAACACUAUCUCAGUAUUUAUGUCUCACAAAUAAAUACAAUUUGCAAAUACUUUGCAAAAUA
rnacentral:lncRNA from 1 species